rnacentral:lncRNA from 1 species
CAUUCUCGUUGCCCGCCAGCUUAUCAAAAGCGUAGCAUCAUAAUCAAAGUUAACCUGAAAUAAAUUUGGACAACAUUACCAAAAGAAUACACAGAGUAAAAAACUAUACAAAAUACCGAUCAAACUCUAUUAGCCAAUAGACGUAUCCUUCUAGGUAAGCAACUAACAAUGUACAAUCCCCUCUGAAAUAUGGAAUUGAUCUCUAAUACUGUGAUUAGUAAAAAGCGAACAUUCAACCAAAAAAUUAAGACCCCCAUUUAACAUGUACAAUGUGAGACCAACAACACAAACAAUUUGGUGAGCAAAUAUGGCAUGUAAGGCAAUUGGUCUAGAAUUAAACGUGUCCGUUGUUCACCUCAAACCCAGAUGUAUUCAUGUUUUAUAUCAAAUUCAGAUUUGGGUUGAACUAAAAUAAUAGUUUCCCCAAUAGAAUAUAGCAGCUGCAUCUCAGUGGACACUACGUGGGCGACAUGAGCAGUGCUUGUAGAAAGAAGGGAUAUUUUGAAACAACAUUUUUCGUAAAAAAAGAAAACAGAAUAGUAGUGGGCAUCAUAGGUCAUAGUCCAUAACUGUUUUGAUGAGAUAAAAGAUAUGUACCUUGACGAUUUGUAUAGCCAAACCGUCAGCGAUGUUGCGGACAUCUCCCCCAUCCAGCUAAUAUAUACAACAACUUGAGAAAAGUAGUAAUAGAUGAUAAUCCUGAAUUACACAUGGCUGCAACCGUGAAGGCAAAAGGUCCACGUUCCUUGACCAGCACCUAAUUAUCUUUGUCAUCACUGAAAAGGUAGCAGACGCAAUUGUAGUCAAACAACAGCAUGCAUAUAUGUUUGAUAUAUCAAAAAUGGAAAGCCUCGACCCCCAACUUGAGAUCUUUCAAUACAUGUAAAUUCUAGACAACAUAGGCGAAUGUCUGGGUAAAACUUCUGUCCAAACUACUCAAAAAAUUAGAACAAUUAAACUCAGACUAGAAAAGCAGAAGUAAAUCAGCCAUUGUACGAUGGUGGAGGAAAAUAAAGGCAUUCGAUCUUGUGACAUUCUUAUGAAGCAUCAACUUACCUCUCUAACAGUCUUAUGGAUCCAUUUGAGUCAUUGAUGGUGGGUGAGGGUGCCAUUGUAUGCUACUCACUCCCUCCUGAUCUCAUCUAGGUUCAGUUUACAAUGAUCGGUAGAUCAAGUGUUACACAAAGUAACGUGGCUAGGCCAAGUGUUCGCUACAGAUGUGUACAAGCCAAGAAAAGGAAAUCAAAAAACUGUCCAUACAUUAUCACAUUUCAUAUUCAAAUGACAGACUCAACUUGCUAAGGAACCUGAGAGAACCGACCUAGUAUUUAUUGAUCUUACAGAAUGUAUGGUGAAUAGCUUUAUAUUGAAACCAUAAUUCCACAAAUUGAGACAUUCUGAAAAAUGAUAUUAGUUCUGUCCUUGUAGAUUUACUGUCUAUGAAGUAGCAGAUUUGGGGUUCCAAUGGCCGCUAGUGCUAUGAGGUCAAUCCUUUCCUUGCUUACAUUUGCGAUUUCAAAAUUUUCAAGAUGUCAUAAAGUGGGUAAGUACUACUGGUUAUGAGCAUUUAGAUCCUAUAGUAACUGAUGAUCUUGAACUGCAGAUACAUGAAGAGCUGAAGAAAUUUUAUUCUUGUACUCGUUCUAGAAGGGCAAGGGGAGGGCUAUAGAAAUUUUAUUUCUGCACUCCAACGGUUAUGCUCUAAGUCAUGUAUUUUAGGAAACAAAUUAUAUUAUCAGGAAAGAAAAGGUUUGGGAUAAUAUAGAAAACAAGGAUAUAUCACUAAUCUGGGAUGCAGUAUAUUUAGGUCAAUUCAUUAUAUGCUUUAUAUUUUUUGGAAGAGACUAUAAUUUAGGACACUAUUUAAAUUGUUUUUAUAAGUUUAGAUCUAUAUUUUAAGAUAUGACACCAAUUUAAGGGACCUUGGAGAUGCUCUGACAGAAGUGUUGAUAACAGACUUGCUAGUGAGAUCUCAAGCAGCUAGCUAGCUCGGUGUUUAAGGAACUCGCUGCCUUUCACACUUUGGACCUUUUGCUCGGUUAGUUUCAGUGCUACAGCCCUAAAUUUGACUUAUGGGCUAUGGCCUUAGCCUAUAAAGACAUCAACACAAUAUACCUUGUAUCUUUCAAACUUAAUUAUUUUAUACUCUAUAUUUCAGAUGACUGAACAAUAUACCUUGUAUCUUUCAAACACAAUAUACCUUUUAUACUCUAUAUUUCAGAUGACAAUACACAGUAAUUGAUAACCCUUCUCAGACUGAACAAAAAACGACUUAGGCCCCCCUACCAAAUCGCUCCAAGGUAUCUUAGUGCAAGAGGGAAUAAACAAACAAAAUUCUCCAAACGGAUUUCAGAUGCUUAUUGAAAGUCGCCUAGAGGGGGGGUGAAUAGGGCGAAUCUAAAAUUUAUGAACUUAAGCACAACUACAAGCCAGGUUAGCGUUAGAAAUAUAAACGAGUCCGAGAGAGAGGGCGCAAAACAAAUCGUGAUCAAAUAAAGAGCGAGACACGAUGAUUUGUUUUUCCGAGAUUCGGUUCUUGCAAACCUACUCCCCGUUGAGGUGGUCACGAAGACCAGGUCUCUUUCAACCCUUUCCCUCUCUCAAACGGUCACCUAGACUAAGUGAGCUUCUCUUCUCAAUCAAACGGAACACGAAGUUCCCGCAAGGACCACCAUACAAUCGGUGUCUCUUGCCUUGGUUACAAUUGAGUUUGAUCACAAGAAGAAUGAGAAAGAAAAGAAGCAAUUCAAGCGCAAGAGCUCAAAUGAACACAACAAAUCUCUCUCUCUAAUCACUAAAGCUUUGUGUGGAGUUGGGAGAAGAUUUGAUCUCUUUGGUGUGUCUUGAAUUCAAUGCUAUAGCUCUUGUAAGGUGUAGAAGUGUAGAAACUUGGAUGCCAUUGAAUGUGGGGUGGUUGGGGUAUUUAUAGCCCCAACCACCAAAAAUGGCCGUUGGAAGUGUGUUGUCGCAUGGCGCACCGGACAGUGCGGUGCGCCACCGGACACUGUCUGGUGCGCCAGCCACGUUAGCCAGCCGUUGGGGUUCGACUGUUGGAGAUCUGACUUGUGGGGCCUCUGGGCUGUCCGGUGGUGCACCGGACAAGUCCUAUAGACUGUCUGGUGCGCCAACUGCGCGUGCUCUGACUCUGGCACGCACUGUAGCGCAAUUAAUGCGGUUGUAGAUGACCGUUGCGCACGAAGUAGCCGUUGCUCCGCUGGCACACCGGACAGUCCAGUGUGGCACUGGACAGUCCGGUGUGGCACCGGACAGUCCGGUGAAUUAUAGCGGAGCGCCCUCUGAUUUUCCCGAAGGUAGCGAGUUCAGCGUUGAGUGCCCUGGUGCACCGGACACUGUCCGGUGGUGCACCAGACACGGUCCGGUGGCACACCGGACGGUCCGGUGCGCCAGACCAGGGUGCCUUGGGUUGUCUUUUGCUCUCUUUGUUUGAAUGCUAUAGCUCUUGUAAUGUGUUGAAGGUGGAAAACUUGGAUGCUAUUGAAUAUGGGGUGGUUGGGGUAUUUAUAGCCCCAACCACCAAAAUAUGGCUGUUGGAAGACUGCUGUCGCAUGGCGCACCGGACAGUCCGGUGCGCCACCGGACACUGUCCUGUGCGCCAGCCACGUCAGCCAGCCGUUGGGGUUCGACCGUUGGAGCUCUGACUUGUGGGGCCUCUGGGCUGUCCGGUGGUGCACCGGACAGGUCCUGUAGACUGUUUGUUGCGCCAAUUGCGUGUGCUCUGUCCUCUACGCGCGCAGGCGCGCAUUAAAUGUGUUGCAGUCGACCGUUGCGCGCGAAGUAGCCGUUGCUCCGCUGGUACACCGGACACUAUCCGGUGCUUCACCGGACAGUCCGGUGAAUUAUAGCGGGGCGGCCUCCUAUUUUCCCGAAGGUGGCAAGUUCAGCUUCGAGUUCCCUGGUGCACCGGACACUGUCCGGUGGUGCACCGGACACGGUCCGGUGGCACACCGGACGGUCCGGUGCGCCAGACCAGGGUGCCUUGGGUUGUCUUUUGCUCUCUUUGUUUGAACCCUUUCUUGGUCUUUUUAUUGGCUUAAUGUGAACCUUUGGCACCUGUAAAACCUAUAGACUAGACCAAACUAGUUAGUCCAAUUAUUUGUGUUGGGCAAUUCAACCACCAAAAUCAAUUAGGAAAUAGGUGUAACCCUAAUUCCCUUUCAAUCUCCCCCUUUUUGGUGAUUAAUGCCAACACACACCAAAGCAAGUAUAGAAGUGCAUAAUUGAACUAGUUUGCAAAAUGUAAGUGCAAAGGUUACUAAGAAUUGAACCAGUAAUUAUUUUCGUAAGAUAGGCAUGGAUUGUUUCUUUAUAUUCUCAACAUUUUGGACCACGCUUGCACCACAUGUUUUGUUUUUGUAAAUACUUUUGUAAAUUCUUUUCAAAGUUCUUUUGCAAGUAGUCAAAGGUAAAUGAGUAAGAUUUUAAGAAGCAUUUUCAAGAUUUGAAAUUUUCUCCCCCUGUUUCAAAUGCUUUUCCUUUGACUAAACAAAACUCCCCCUAUAUAGGAUCUUCCUCUUAGUGUUCAAGAGGGUUUUAAGAUAUCAAUUUUGAAAAUACUAUUUUCUCCCCCUUUUGAACAUAAUGAGAUACCAAUUUGAAAACAUCAUUUUAAAAAAAAAUUAGGUGGUGGUGCGGUCCUUUUGCUUUGGGCUAAUACUUUCUCCCCUUUGGCAUGAAUCGCCAAAAAACGGAUACUUGAGUGAAAUAUAAGCCCUUGUAGAACUACUUUCUCCCUUUUUGGCAAACAAAAUAUAAGUGAAGAUUACACCGAAGUCGGAGAGUUGUUCGGAGCGACGACGAAGGAUGAGUUGAUGGAGUGGAGUGGAAGCCUUUGUCUUCGCCGAAGACUCCAAUUCCCUUUCAAUACACCUAUGACUUGGUUUGAAAUAUACUUGAAAACACAUUAGUCAUAGCACAUGAAAGAGAUAUGAUCAAAGGUAUAUUUAUGAGCUAUGUAUGCAAGACAUUAAAAGAAAUUCCGAGAAUCAAGAAUAUUUAGCUCAUGCCUAAGUUUGUUAAAGGUUUGUUCAUCUAGUGCUUGGUAAAGAUAUCGGCUAAUUGUUCUUUAGUGUUGAUAUAAGCAAUCUCGAUAUCCCCCUUUUGUUGGUGAUCCCUUAGAAAAUGAUACCGAAUGGCUAUGUGUUUAGUGCGGCUAUCUCAACGGGGUUAUCUGCCAUGCGGAUUGCACUCUCAUUAUCACAUAGAACAGGAACUUUGGUUAAUUUGUAACCAUAGUCCCUAAGGGUUUGCCUCAUCCAAAGCAAUUGCGCGCAACAAUGGCCUGCGACAAUAUACUCGGCUUCGGCGGUAGAAAGAGCGACGGAAUUUUGCUUCUUUGAAGCCCAAGACACCAAGGAUCUUCCCAAGAACUGGCAAGUCCCCGAUGUGCUCUUUCUAUUAAUUUUACACCCCGCCCAAUCGGCAUCCGAAUAACCAAUCAAAUCAAAUGUGGAUCCCCGAGGAUACCAAAGCCCAAACUUAGGAGUAUAAACUAAAUAUCUCAAGAUUCGUUUUACGACCGUAAGGUGAGCUUCCUUAGGGUCGGCUUGGAAUCUUGCACACAUGCAUACGGAAAGCAUUAUGUCCGGUCGAGAUGCACAUAAAUAGAGUAGAGAGACUAUCAUCGACCGGUAUACCUUUUGAUCUACGGAUUUACCUCCCGUGUCGAGGUCGAGAUGCCCAUUGGUUCCCAUGGGUGUCUUAAUGGGCUUGGCAUCCUUCAUCCCAAACUUGUUUAGAAUGUCUUGAAUAUACUUCGUUUGGCUAAUGAAGAUGCCCUCUUGGAGUUGCUUCACUUGAAAUCCUAAGAAGUACUUCAACUCCCCCAUCAUCGACAUCUCGAAUUUUUGUGUCAUGAUCCUACUAAAUUCCUCACAUGUAGAUUCGUUAGUAGACCCAAAUAUAAUAUCAUCAACAUAAAUUUGGCAUACAAACAAAUCAUUGUCAAGAGUUUUAGUAAAUAAAGUAGGAUCAGCCUUUUCGACUUUGAAGCCAUUAGUGAUAAGAAAAUCUCUUAGACAUUCAUACCAUGCUCUUGGGGCUUGCUUGAGCCCAUAAAGCGCCUUAGAGAGUUUAUAUACGUGGUUAGGAUACUCACUAUCUUCAAAGCCGGGAGGUUGCUCAACAUAGACCUCUUCCUUGAUUGGUGCAUUGAGGAAGGCACUUUUCACAUCCAUUUGAUAAAGCUUGAAGCCAUGGUAAGUAGCAUAGGCAAGUAAAAUGUGAAUUGACUCAAGCCUAGCUACGGGUGCAUAGGUUUCACCGAAAUCCAAACCUUCGACUUGUGAAUAUCCCUUGGCCACAAGUCGGGCUUUGUUCCUUGUCACCACACCAUGCUCGUCUUGCUUGUUGCGGAAGACCCAUUUGGUUUCUACAACAUUUUGAUUAGGACGUGGAACUAAUUGCCAUACCUCGUUCCUAGUGAAGUUGUUGAGCUCUUCUUGCAUCGCCACCACCCAAUCCGAAUCUUGGAGUGCUUCCUCUACCCUAUGUGGCUCAAUAGAGGAAACAAAAGAGUAAUGCUCACAAAAAUGUGCAACACGAGAUCUAGUGGUUACCCCCUUAUGAAUAUCGCCGAGGAUGGUGUUGACGGGGUGAUCUCGUUGGAUUGCUUGGUGGACUCUUGGUUGUGGCGGUCUUGGAACUUGUUCGUCUUCCUUAUCUUGAUCAUGGGCAUCUCCCCCUUGAUCAUUGCUCUCCUCUUGAGGUGGCUCAACUUCUUGAUAUUCUCCUUCAUCAUUUUGAGCCUCAUCCUCUUCUUGAGUUGGUGGAGAUGCUUGCAUGGAGGAAGAUGGUUGAUCUUGUGCUUGAGGUGGCUCUUCGGAUUCCUUAGGACACACAUCCCCAAUGGACAUGUUCCUUAGCGCGACGCACGGAGCCUCUUCAUCACCUAUCUCAUCAAGAUCAACUUGCUCUACUUGAGAGCCGUUAGUCUCAUCAAACACAAUGUCACAAGAAACUUCAACUUGUCCAGAGGACUUGUUAAAGACUCUAUAUGCUCUUGUGUUUGAAUCAUAUCCUAGUAAAAAGCCUUCUACAGUCUUAGGAGCAAAUUUGGAUUUUCUACCUCUUUUGACAAGAAUAAAGCAUUUGCUACCAAAGACUUUAAAAUAUGAAACAUUGGGCUUUUUACCGGUAAGGAGUUUGUAUGAUGUCUUCUUGAGGAUUCGGUGUAGAUACAACCGGUUGAUGGCGUAGCAAGCGGUGUUGACCAUCUCGGCCCAAAACCGAUCCGAAGUCUUGUACUCAUCAAGCAUGGUUCUUGCCAUGUCUAAUAGAGUUCUAUUCUUCCUCUCCACUACACCAUUUUGUUGUGGGGUGUAGGUGAAAGGGAAAUGUGCCCUUGGGCCAUUUCUAAGUAUUUUGGUGAUUUAGUGUCCAACACAAGUGCCUAAGUGUAAAAUGGUGGACAAAGUACAAAUCAAGGAUAAAGGUAUGUUUCUCAGACUUAGUACAUUGUUUUAUGGACUAAUCUAUUGUGUCUAAGUGCUGGAAACAGGAAAAAUCCAAUUGGAAUUGUCUUGGCUCGAGCAGCCAAGACUCUGCUCAGUCUGGGAGCACCGGACUGUCCGGUGGUGCACCGGACAGUGUCUGGUGCGCCAGGCUGGUUCGAGCGAAGUGGCCGCUCUCGGGAAUUCACCGGCGACGUACGGCUAUAAUUCAUCGGACUGUCCGGUGUGCACCGGACUGUCCGGUGAGCCAACGGUCGGCCGCGCGAUCUGCGCGGGACACGUGGCCGAGCCAACGGCUAGAAGGGGGCACCGGACUGUCCGGUGUGCACCGGACAUGUCCGGUGCGCCAACGGCUCUCUGGCGGCCAACGGUCGGCUGCGCCAGUUAAGGAAAGAAAUCGGGCACCGGACAGUGUCCGGUGUGCACAAGACUGUCCGGUGCGCCAGUCGACAGAAGGCAAGAUCAGCCUUCCUAGAUUGCUCUCAACGGCUCCUAGUUGCCUUGGGGCUAUAAAAGGGACCCCUAGGCGCAUGGAGGAGAACACCAAGCAUUCUUACAACAUUCCUAAGCACCAAGACAUCGAUUCCACGCCUUUGAUUCUUUGCGAUAGCAAUUAGAGCUCUAGUUGAGUGGUGAACUCUUUGAGUUGUGUUGAGAGCUCUCCUUGUGACUUGUGUGCGUGGUGUUGCUGUGAUUUCUUGUCUUGAGUGCGUUGCUAAUCCCUCCCUUGCUCUGUGUUUCUUUGUGAUCUUAAAGUGUAAGGGCGAGAGGCUCCAAGUUGUGGAGAUUCCUCGCAAACGGGAUUGAGUAAAAGUAAGCAAAACACCGUGGUAUUCAAGUGGGUCUUUGGACCGCUUGAGAGGGGUUGAUUGCAACCCUCGUCCGUUGGGACGCCACAACGUGGAGUAGGCAAGCGUUGGUCUUGGCCGAACCACGGGAUAACCACCGUGCCAUCUCUGAGAUUGAUCUUGUUGGUUAUUGUGUUUUGUUGAAGAUUCCUCUCUAGCCACUUGGCGGUUAUUGUGCUAACACUUAACCAAGUUUUUGUGGCUUAAGUUUUCAAGAUUUACAGGAUCACCUAUUCACCCCCCCCCUCUAGGUGCUCUCAAUUGGUAUCGGAGCCGUUCUCUUCAAGAAAGGGACUAACCGCCCGAAGAGAUGGAUCCUAAGGGCAAGGGGAUGGUGAUCAACGACAAGGAGAAGGAGUCCUUCGUCAACGAGCCCAAUGAUGACAGGCCCACCGACUCAGGCUCGGGCCACAAAAGAAAAGACGGGAGGAAGAAGAAGACAAGGCGCAUCAAGGAAAUUGUCUACUACGACAGCGACGGAUCUUCCUCCUCCCAAAAGGACAACGACGACUACGACAGACGAAAGACGGUUAACUCAAACUUUUCUUUCAAUUAUUCGCGCAUUCUGCAUAGCUCAAAUGCUCAAUUGCUCCCCAUUCCACUUGGCAAGCCCCCUCACUUUGAUGGAGAGGACUACGGAUUUUGGAGCCACAAAAUGCGUACUCACCUGUUUUCUCUCCAUCCAAGCAUUUGGGAGAUUGUGGAAAGUGGAAUGAAAUUUGUUAGCUCGGAUAGCCCUGUGUUUAUUAAUGAACAGAUUCAUAAAAAUGCACAAGCUGCUACUGUGUUGCUAGCCUCUUUGUGCAGGGACGAGUAUCACAAGGUGAGCGGCUUGGACAAUGCCAAGCAGAUCUGGGACACCCUCAAGAUCUCUCAUGAGGGGAACGACGUCACCUUGCUCACCAAAAUGGAGUUGGUGGAGGGCGAGCUUGGAAGGUUCGCGAUGAUAAGGGGCGAGGAGCCAACUCAAACAUACAACCGGCUCAAGACCCUUAUCAACAAAAUAAGGAGCUACGGAAGCACGCGAUGGACGGACCACGACGUCGUCCGACUGAUGCUAAGGUCCUUUACCGUUCUUGAUCCUCAUUUGGUGAAUAAUAUUCGUGAGAAUCCCAGGUACACCAAAAUGUCGCCCGAAGAAGUCCUCGGAAAAUUCGUUAGCGGGCGAAUGAUGAUCAAGGAGGUGAGGUACGUGGACGACGCCUUGAAUGGUCCAAUCAACGAGUCGCAACCCCUUGCUCUCAAGGCAACAAGAAGCAAGGAGGCGCUACCUAGCAAGUUGGCACAGAUUGAGGCGGCCGGACUUAAUGAUGAAGAGAUGGCCCUCAUCAUCAAAAGAUUCAAGACGGCGCUUAAGGGUCGCAAGGGACAGCCAAGCAAGACCAAAGCCAAGGGGAAGCGCUCAUGCUUCAAAUGCGGUAAGCUUGGUCAUUUUAUUGCUAACUGUCCUGACAAUGAUAGUGAUCAGGAACAAGGGAACAAGAGGGAGAAGAAGAAGAAGUAUAAGAAGGCAAAAGGCGAGGCGCAUCUAGGCAAGGAGUGGGAUUCGGAUUGCUCCUCUUCCGACUCUGACAAUGAGGGACUCGCCGCCACCGCCUUCAACAAAUCGGCCCUCUUUCCAAACGAGCGUCACACAUGCCUUAUGGCAAGAGAGAAGAAGGUAUGUACUCAAAACUCUACUUAUGCUUCUUCAAGUGAGGACGAAUCUAGUAAUGAGGAUGAAAUAGAUUAUUCAUGUUUGUUUAAGGGCCUAGAUAGAACCAAGGUAGACAAAAUUAAUGAAUUGAUUGAUGCCUUGAAUGAUAAGAAUAUGCUUUUAGAAAAGCAAGAGGAUUUGUUGUAUGAAGAACAUGAUAAAUUUGUAGAAGCACAAAAGUCUCUUGCUCUAGAAAUUAAAAGGAAUGAAAUGCUCUCUAGUGAAUUAUCUUCUUGUCAUGAAACUAUUGCUACGUUAAAAAGUUUUAAUGAUGAUUUAAAUGCUAAACUAGAAGUAGCUAGUAAAUCUAAUUCUUGUGUAGAAAUUGUUGAAACUUGUAAUAGGUGUAAAGAUUUUGACAUUGAUGCUUGUAGUGAUCAUUUAGUUUCAAUUUCCAAAUUAAAUGAGGAAUUAGCUAGUCUUAAUGCCCAACUUAAGACUAGCAAGAACGAAUUUGACAAGCUAAAAUUUGCAAGGGAUGCCUACACGAUUGGUAGACACCCCUCAAUUAAGGAUGGACUUGGCUACAAGAGGGAAGCCAAGAACUUGACAAGCCAUAAGGCUCCCAUCUCCGCCAAGGAGAAAGGGAAGGCCCCUAUGACUAGUAGUGUGCAAAAGAACCAUGCCUUUAUGUACCAUGAUAGGAGACAAUCUAGAAAAGCUUAUAGGAGUUGUAAUGCAUAUAAUGCCUUUGAUUCUCAUGCCAUGUUUGCUUCUAGUUCUUCUUAUGUGCAUAAUAGAAAUGUUGGUAGGAGAACAUAAUAUGCCUAGGAGAAAUGUUGUUAAUGUUCCUAGGAAAGUAAAUGAACCUUCUACAAUAUAUCAUGCUUUAAAUGCUGCUUUUGCUAUUUGUAGAAAGGAUAGGAAGAUAGUUGCUAGAAAAUUAGGGGCAAGAUGCAAGGGAGACAAAACUUGCAUUUGGGUCCCUAAGGAUAUUUGUGCUAACCUUGUAGGACCCAACAUGAGUUGGGUACCUAAGACCCAAGCCUAAAUUUGCCUUGCAGGUUUAUGCAUCCGGGGGUUCAAGCUGGAUUAUUGACAGCGGAUGCACAAACCAUAUGACGGGGGAGAAGAAGAUGUUCACCUCCUACGUCAAAAACAAAGAUUCCCAAGAUUCAAUAAUAUUCGGUGAUGGGAAUCAAGGCAAAGUAAAAGGGCUAGGUAAAAUUGCAAUCUCCAAUGAGCACUCUAUCUCUAAUGUGUUUUUAGUAGAGUCUCUUGGAUAUAAUUUACUAUCUGUUAGUCAAUUAUGUAAUAUGGGAUAUAAUUGUUUAUUUACAAAUGUAGAUGUGUCUGUCUUUAGAAGAUGUGAUGGUUCACUAGCUUUUAAGGGUGUACUAGACGGCAAACUUUACUUAGUUGAUUUUGCAAAAGAAGAGGCCGGUCUAGAUGCAUGCUUAAUUGCUAAGACUUGCAUGGGCUGGUUGUGGCAUCGCUGCUUAGCACAUGUGGGGAUGAAGAACCUCCACAAGCUUCUAAAGGGAGAACACGUGAUAGGUCUAACCAAUGUUCAUUUCGAAAAAGAUAGACCUUGUGCAGCUUGUCAAGCAGGUAAACAAGUGGGAGGAGCACAUCACAGCAAGAAUGUGAUGACCACGUCAAGACCUCUGGAGCUGCUGCAUAUGGACCUCUUCGGACCCGUCGCCUAUCUGAGCAUAGGAGGAAGUAAGUAUGGUCUAGUUAUAGUUGAUGACUUUUCCCGCUUCACUUGGGUGUUCUUUUUGCAGGAUAAGUCUGAAACCCAAGGGACCCUCAAGCGCUUCCUAAGGAGAGCUCAAAAUGAGUUUGAGCUCAAGGUGAAGAAGAUAAGGAGCGACAACGGGUCCGAAUUCAAGAACCUUCAAGUGGAGGAGUUCCUUGAGGAGGAGGGGAUCAAGCACGAGUUCUCCGCUCCCUACACACCUCAACAAAAUGGUGUGGUAGAGAGGAAGAACAGGACGCUCAUAGAUAUGGCGAGGACUAUGCUUGGAGAGUUCAAGACCCCCGAGUGCUUUUGGUCGGAAGCCGUGAACACGGCUUGCCACGCCAUCAACAGGAUCUACCUUCACCGCCUCCUCAAGAAGACUUCAUAUGAGCUGCUGACUGGUAACAAACCCAAUGUAUCGUACUUUCGUGUAUUUGGGAGUAAAUGCUACAUUCUAGUGAAGAAGGGUAGGAAUUCCAAAUUUGCUCCCAAAGCCGUAGAAGGGUUUUUAUUAGGUUAUGAUUCAAAUACAAAGGCGUAUAGGGUCUUCAACAAAUCAUUGAGUUUGGUUGAAGUCUCUAGCGACGUUGUAUUUGAUGAGACUAAUGGCUCUCCAAGAGAGCAAGUUGUUGAUCUUGAUGAUGUAGAUGAAGAAGACGUUCCAACGGCCGCGAUGCGCACCAUGGCGAUUGGAGAUGUAUGGCCUCAGGAACAUUUGGAGCAAGAUCAACCGUCUUUCUCAACUAUGGUGCAUCCCCCAACUCAAGACGAUGAACAGGUUCAUCAACAGGAGGCGUGUGAUCAAGGGGGAGCACAAGAUGAUCAUGUGAUGGAGGAAGAAGCGCAACCGGCACCUCCAACCCAAGUUCGAGCGAUGAUUCAAAGGGAUCAUCCCGUCGAUCAAAUUCUGGGUGAUAUUAGCAAGGGAGUAACUACUCAAUCUCGAUUAGUUAAUUUUUGUGAGCAUUACUCCUUUGUCUCUUCUAUUGAGCCUUUCAGGGUAGAAGAGGCCUUGCUAGAUCCAGACUGGGUGUUGGCCAUGCAAGAGGAGCUCAACAACUUCAAGAGGAAUGAAGUUUGGACGCUGGUGCCUCGUCCUAAGCAAAAUGUUGUGGGAACCAAGUGGGUGUUCCGCAACAAACAGGACGAGCACGGGGUGGUGACGAGAAACAAGGCUCGACUUGUGGCAAAAGGUUAUGCCCAAGUCGCAGGUUUGGACUUUGAGGAGACUUUUGCUCCUGUGGCUAGGCUAGAGUCAAUUCGUAUUUUGCUAGCAUAUGCCGCUCACCAUUCUUUCAGGUUGUACCAAAUGGAUGUGAAGAGCGCUUUCCUCAACGGGCCGAUCAAGGAGGAGGUGUAUGUAGAGCAACCCCCUGGCUUCGAGGAUGAACGGUACCCCGACCACGUGUGUAAGCUCUCUAAGGCGCUCUAUGGACUUAAGCAAGCCCCAAGAGCAUGGUAUGAAUGCCUUAGAGACUUUUUAAUUGCUAAUGCUUUCAAGGUCGGGAAAGCCGAUCCAACUCUUUUUACUAAGACUUCCGAUGGUGAUCUUUUUGUGUGCCAAAUUUAUGUCGAUGACAUAAUAUUUGGUUCUACUAAUCAAAAGUCUUGUGAAGAGUUUAGCAGGGUGAUGACGCAGAAAUUCGAGAUGUCGAUGAUGGGCGAGUUGAACUACUUCCUUGGGUUCCAAGUGAAGCAACUCAAGGACGGCACCUUCAUCUCUCAAACGAAGUACACGCAAGACUUGCUGAAGCGGUUUGGGAUGAAGGACGCCAAGCCCACAAAAACUCCAAUGGGGACCGACGGACACACAGACCUCAACAAAGGAGGUAAGUCCAUUGAUCAAAAGGCAUACCGGUCAAUGAUAGGGUCUUUACUUUAUUUAUGUGCUAGUAGACCGGAUAUUAUGCUUAGCGUAUGCAUGUGUGCUAGAUUUCAAUCCGAUCCUAAGGAGUGUCACUUCGUGGCAGUGAAGCGAAUCCUUAGAUAUUUAGAUGCUACGCCUUGCUUCGGGCUCUGGUAUCCAAAGGGGUCUACCUUUGACUUGAUUGGAUAUUCAGAUUCCGACUAUGCUGGAUGUAAGGUCGAUAGGAAGAGUACAUCGGGGACGUGCCAAUUCUUAGGAAGGUCCCUGGUGUCAUGGAAUUCUAAGAAACAAACCUCUGUUGCCCUAUCCACCGCUGAGGCCGAGUAUGUUGCCACAGGACAGUGUUGCGCGCAACUACUUUGGAUGAGGCAAACCCUCAGGGACUUUGGCUACAAUCUGAGCAAAGUCCCACUCCUAUGUGAUAAUGAGAGUGCUAUCCGCAUGGCGGAAAAUCCUGUUGAACACAGCCGCACAAAGCACAUAGACAUCCGGCAUCACUUUUUGAGAGACCACCAGCAAAAGGGAGAUAUCGAAGUGUUUCAUGUUAGCACCGAGAACCAGCUAUCCGAUAUCUUUACCAAGCCUCUAGAUGAGAAGACCUUUUGCAGGCUGUGUAGUGAGCUCAAUAUCUUAGAUUCACGGAACUUGGAUUGAAAUGUAGCAUACAUGUGUUUAUGCCUUUGAUCAUGUUCAUUCUGCAUUUUGUUGCUUAUUGUGGUGCUCAAGUUGUACAAACACUCCCUGGACCUCACAAGUCCUUUUUGCAAGUGAUGCACAUAUUUAGGGGGAGCUGUGCUACAACUUGACCCUUUGAGACUAACCAUGUACUUGAGUUUGGUUGUUUUAGCCUCAAAGGAGGAUUGAAAGGGAAAAGGUGGACUUGGACCAUGCAAGACUUCCACUGCACUCCGAUAAAAAGAGUAACUUUUCCAAGUUCAUCUUUAUACUCUUAUUGCCUUUGUGUCCUCAUUUGAUGAUUUUGGUGAGGCAAUGGGGUUAAAGGGCCAAGAUUAAUCCCGUUUUGGUGCUUGAUGCCAAAGGGGGAGAAAAUAAAGGCCAAAGCAAUAAAUGGAUCAGCUACCACUUGAGAGAUUUUGAGAAUAGUAGAAUAGAGUCUUUGGUUUGUCAAAACUCGAGUUUUUUGGUUUGUCAAAACUCUUUUAUUGUCUCUCUUGUCAAAAGUUGGCUUCUUGUAGGGAGAAGUAUUGAUUAUGGGAAAAAGGGGGAGUUUUUGAAAUCUUGAAUCAAUUUCUAUUGGAAUGACUCUAUGUAUGUCUUAACAUGUGGUUUUGACUUAGAGAUAGGAAUUUGAGUUUGAUUUGCAAAAACAAACCAAGUGGUGGCAUAGAGUGAUCCAUAUAUGUCAAAUUUGAAUCAAAAUAAUUUGAGUUCUUAUUUGAAGUGAUUUUGUACUUGUUCUACUUGCAUUAUGUUGUGUUGGCAUAAAUCACCAAAAAGGGGGAAAUUGAAAGGGAAAUGUGCCCUUGGGCCAUUUCUAAGUAUUUUGGUGAUUUAGUGUCCAACACAAGUGCCUAAGUGUAAAAUGGUGGACAAAGUACAAAUCAAGGAUAAAGGUAUGUUUCUCAGACUUAGUACAUUGUUUUAUGGACUAAUCUAUUGUGUCUAAGUGCUGGAAACAGGAAAAAUCCAAUUGGAAUUGUCUUGGCUCGAGCAGCCAAGACUCUGCUCAGUCUGGGAGCACCGGACUGUCCGGUGGUGCACCGGACAGUGUCCGGUGCGCCAGGCUGGUUCGAGCGAAGUGGCCGCUCUCGGGAAUUCACCGGCGACGUACGGCUAUAAUUCACCGGACUGUCCGGUGUGCACCGGACUGUCCGGUGAGCCAACGGUCGGCCGCGCGAUCUGCGCGGGACACGUGGCCGAGCCAACGGCUAGAAGGGGGCACCGGACUGUCCGGUGUGCACCGGACAUGUCCGGUGCGCCAACGGCUCUCUGGCGGCCAACGGUCGGCUGCACUAGUUAAGGAAAGAAAUCGGGCACCAGACAGUGUCCGGUGUGCACCGGACUGUCCGGUGCGCCAGUCGACAGAAGGCAAGAUCAGCCUUCCUAGAUUGCUCUCAACGGCUCCUAGCUGCCUUGGGGCUAUAAAAGGGACCCCUAGGCGCAUGGAGGAGAACACCAAGCAUUCUUACAACAUUCCUAAGCACCAAGACAUCGAUUCCGCGCCUUUGAUUCUUUGCGAUAGCAAUUAGAGCUCUAGUUGAGUGGUGAACUCUUUGAGUUGUGUUGAGAGCUCUCCUUGUGACUUGUGUGUGUGGUGUUGCUGUGAUUUCUUGUCUUGAGUGCGUUGCUAAUCCCUCCCUUGCUCUGUGUUUCUUUGUGAUCUUAAAGUGUAAGGGCGAGAGGCUCCAAGUUGUGGAGAUUCCUCGCAAACGGGAUUGAGUAAAAGCAAGCAAAACACCGUGGUAUUCAAGUGGGUCUUUGGACCGCUUGAGAGGGGUUGAUUGCAACCCUCGUCCGUUGGGACGCCACAACGUGGAGUAGGCAAGCGUUGGUCUUGGCCGAACCACGGGAUAACCACCGUGCCAUCUCUGAGAUUGAUCUUGUUGGUUAUUGUGUUUUGUUGAAGAUUCCUCUCUUGCCACUUGGCGGUUAUUGUGCUAACACUUAACCAAGUUUUUGUGGCUUAAGUUUUCAAGAUUUACAGGAUCACCUAUUCACCCCCCCCCCCCUCUAGGUGCUCUCAGUAGGGAGAAGAGAACUCAUGCUUGAUUCCCUCCUCCUCAAGGAAGCCUUCGAUUUGAGAGUUCUUGAACUCCGUCCCGUUGUCGCUUCUAAUCUUUUUGAUCCUUAAGCCGAACUCAUUUUGAGCCCGUCUCAAGGAUCCCUUUAAGGUCUCUUGGGUAUGAGAUUUUUCCUGCAAAAAGAACACCCAAGUGAAGCGAGAAUAGUCAUCCACAAUAACUAGACAGUACUUACUCCCGCCGAUGCUUAUGUAAGCUAUCGGGUCGAAUAGAUCCAUGUGUAGGAGCUCGAGUGGCCUGUCAGUUGUCAUGAUGUUCUUGUGUGGAUGAUGAACACCAACUUGCUUCCCUGCCUGACAUGCGCUACAAAUCAUGUCUUUCUCAAAAUGAACAUUUGUUAGUCCCAAAAUGUGUUCUCCCUUUAGAAGCUUAUGAAGAUUCUUCAUUCCAACAUGUGCUAGUCGGUGGUGCCAGAGCCAGCCCAUGUUAGUCUUAGCAAUUAAGCAAGUGUCGAGUUCAGCUCUAUCAAAAUCUACUAAGUAUAGCUGACCCUCUAACACUCCCUUAAAUGCUAUUGAAUCAUCACUUCUUCUAAAGACAGUGACACCUACAUCCGUAAAAAGACAGUUGUAACCCAUUUUACAUAAUUGCGAAACUGAAAGCAAGUUAUAAUCUAAAGAAUCUACAAGAAAAACAUUGGAAAUGGAAUGGUCAGGUGAUAUAGCUAUUUUACCCAAUCCUUUGACCAAACCUUGAUUUCCAUCCCCGAAUGUGAUAGCUCGUUGGGGAUCUUGGUUUUUCUCAUAGAAGGAGAACAUCUUCUUCUCCCCUGUCAUAUGGUUUGUGCACCCGCUAUCGAUGAUCCAACUUAAGCCCCCGGAUGCAUAAACCUACAAAACAAGUUUAGUUCUUGAUUUUAGGUACCCAAACGGUUUUGGGUCCUUUGACAUUAGAUACAAGAACUUUGGGUACCCAAACACAAGUCUUGGAACCCUUGUGUUUGUCCCCAACAUAUUUGUCAACUACCUUGUCGAAUUUGUUAGUUAAAACAUAGGAUGCAUCAAAAGUUUUAAAUGAAAUAUUAUGAUCAUUUGAUGCAAUAGGAGUUUUCUUUCUAGGCAAUUUAGCAUGGGUUGAUUGCCUAGAGCUAGAUGUCUCACCCUUAUACAUAAAAGCAUGAUUAGGGCCAGAGUGAGACUUCCUAGAGUGAAUUCUCCUAAUUUUGCUCUCGGGAUAACCGGCAGGAUACAAAAUGUAACCCUCGUUAUCCUGAGGCAUGGGAGCCUUUCCCUUUACAAAGUUAGACAAUCUUUUAGGAGGGGCAUUAAGUUUGACAUUGUCCCCCUUUUGGAAGCCUAUGUCAUCCUUGAUGCCAGGGCGUCUCCCACUAUAGAGCAUGCUUCUAGCAAAUUUAAAUUUUUCAUUUUCUAAGUUAUGCUCAUUAAUUUUAGCAUUAAGUUGAGCUAUGUGAUCAUUUUGUUUCUUAAUUAAGGCUAGGUGAUCAUGAAUAGCAUCAACAUUAAUGUCUCUACAUCUAGUACAAAUGGAAACAUGCUCAAUGGUAGAUGUAGAGGGUUUGCAAGAAUUAAGUUCAACAAUCUUAGCACGUAAAAUAUCAUUCUUGUCUCUAAGAUCGGAAAUGGAAGCAUUGCAAACAUCUAAAUCCUUAGCCUUAGCAAUCAAAUUUUCAUUUUCAUUUCUAAGGCUAGCAAGAGCAACAUUCAAUUCAUCAAUCUUAGCAAGUAAGUCGACAUUAUCAUCUCUCAGAUUAGGAAUUGAAGUAUCACAAACAUUAGAAUCAACCUUAGCAAUUAAUUUAGCAUUUUCAUUUCUAAGGUUGGCAAUAGUGUCAUGGCAAGUGCUUAGGUCACUAGAUAGUUUUUCACAUUUUUCUACUUCUAGAGCGUAAGCAUUUUUAACCUUAACAUGCUUCUUAUUUUCCUUAAUUAGGAAGUCCUCUUGGGUGUCCAAGAGUUCAUCCUUCUCAUGAAUAGCACUAAUUAAUUUAUUUAGUUUUUCUUUUUGUUGCAUGCUAAGGUUGGCAAAAAGGAUGUGCAAGUUAUCCUCCUCAUCACUAUCAUUAUCCUCAUCACUAGAGGUUUCAUAUUUAGUGGAGGAUCUUGAUUUUACCUUCUUCCUUUUGCCGUCCUUUGCCAUGAGGCACUUGUGGCCGAUGUUGGGGAAGAGGAGUCCCUUGGUGACGGCGAUGUUGGCAGCGUCCUCGUCGGAGGAGGAGUCGGAGGAGCUCUCCUUGGAGUCCCACUCGCGGCACACAUGGGCAUCGCCGCCCCUCUUCUUGUGGUACCUCUUCUUUUCCCUCCUCUUGCCCUUCUUGUUGUCGCCCCUGUCACUAUCACUAGAUAACGGACAUUUAGCAAUGAAAUGACCGGGCUUACCACAUUUGUAGCACACUUUCCUGGGGCAGGGCUUGUAAUCCUUCCCCCUCCGUUGCUUGAGGAUUUGGCGGAAGCUCUUGAUGAUGAGCGCCAUUUCCUCGUUGUCGAGCUUAGAUGCAUUGAUGGGUUGUCUACUUGAUGUAGACUCCUCCUUGUUCUCCUCUGUCGCCUUGAAUGCGACCGGUUGUGCUUCGGACGUGGAGGGGCCAUCUAGCUCGAUGAUUUUCUUUGAGCCUUUGAUCAUCAACUCAAAGCUCACAAAAUUUCCUAUUACUUCCUCGGGAGACAUUAGUGUAUAUCUAGGAUUUCCUCGAAUUAAUUGAACUUGCGUAGGGUUAAGAAAAAUGAGGGAUCUUAGAAUAACCUUGACCAUCUCAUGGUCAUCCCAUUUUGUGCUUCCGAGGUUGCGCACUUGGUUCACCAAGGUCUUCAAGCGGUUGUACAUGGCUUGAGGGUCCUCGCCUUGGUUGAGUCAGAACCGACCGAGCUCCCCCUCGAUCGUUUCCCGCUUGGUGAUUUUGGUCACCUCAUCUCCUUCGUGCGCGGUCUUGAGUACAUCCCAAAUUUCCUUGGCGCUCUUUAAUCCUUGCACCUUGUUAUACUCCUCUCGACUUAGAGAGGUGAGGAGUAUAGUGGUGGCUUGGGAGUUAAAGUGUCGGAUUUGGGCGACCUCGUCCGAAUCAUAAUCUUCAUCCCCGGUGAAGGUACAUGUACUCCAAUCUCAACAACAUCCCAAAUGCUAGUGUGGAGUGAGUUAGAUGAUGCCUCAUUUUAUCACUCCACAUAUUAUAAUCUUCACCAUCAAACAUAGGUGGUUUGCCUAAUGGGACGGAAAGUAAUGGAGUACGUUUGGAAAUGCGAGGGUAGCGUAGGGGAAUCUUACUAAACUUCUUGCGCUCAUGGCGCUUAGAAGUUACGGACGGCGUGUCGGAGCCAGAGGUGGAUGGCGAUGAAGAGUCGGUCUCGUAGUAGACCACCUUCCUCAUCUUCUUCUUCUUGUCACCGCUCCGACCCGACUUGUUGUGUGAAGGGGAUCCCUUCACCUUGUUGGCGGACUCCCCGGAUGGAGCCUUCCCAUGGCUUGUAGCGGGCUUCUCGCCGGUCAUCAUCUCCUUCUUGGCGUGAUCUCCCGACAUCACUUCGAGCGGUUAAGCUCUAAUGAAGCACCGGGCUUUGAUACCAAUUGAAAAUCGCCUAGAGGGGGUGAAUAGGGCGAAUCUGAAAUUUAUGAACUUAAGCACAACUACAAGUCGGGUUAGCGUUAGAAAUAUAAACAAGUCCGAGAGAGAGAGAGCGCAAAACAAAUUGUGAUCAAAUAAAGAGCGAGACACGAUGAUUUGUUUUUCCGAGGUUCGGUUCUUGCAAACCUACUCCCCGUUGAGGUGGUCAUGAAGACCGGGUCUCUUUCAACCCUUUCCCUCUCUCAAACGGUCACCUAGACCGAGUGAGCUUCUCUUCUCAAUCAAACGGAACACGAAGUUCCCGCAAGGACCACCACACAAUUGGUGUCUCUUGCCUUGGUUACAAUUGAGUUUGAUCACAAGAAGAAUGAGAAAGAAAAGAAGCAAUCCAAGCGCAAGAGCUCAAAUGAACACAACAAAUCUCUCUCUCUAAUCACUAAAGCUUUGUGUGGAGUUGGGAGAAGAUUUGAUCUCUUUGGUGUGUCUUGAAUUCAAUGCUAUAGCUCUUGUAAGGUGUAGAAGUGUAGAAACUUGGAUGCCAUUGAAUGUGGGGUGGUUGGGGUAUUUAUAGCCCCAACCACCAAAAAUGGCCGAUGGAAGUGUGCUGUCGCAUGGCGCACCGGACAGCCGUUGGGGUUCGACCGUUGGAGUUCUGACUUGUGGGGCCUCUGGGCUGUCCGGUGGUGCACCGGACAAGUCCUGUAGACUGUCCGGUGCGCCAACUGCGCGUGCUCUGACUCUGGCGCGCACUGUAGCGCAAUUAAUGCGGUUGCAGACGACCGUUGCGUGCGAAGUAGCCGUUGCUCCGCUGGCACAUCGGACAGUCCGGUGUGGCAUCGGACACUGUCCGGUGCUUCACUGGAUAGUCUGGUGAAUUAUAGCGGAGCGCCCUCUGAUUUUCCCGAAGGUAGCGAGUUCAGCGUCGAGUGCCCUGGUGCACCGGACACUGUCCGGUGGUGCACCGGACACGGUACGGUGGCACACCGGUCGGUCUGGUGCGCCAGACCAGGGUGCCUUGGGUUGUCUUUUGCUCUCUUUGUUUGAACCCUUUCUUGGUAUUUUAUUGGCUUAAUGUGAACCUUUGGCACCUGUAAAACUUAUAGACUAGAGCAAACUAGUUAGUCCAAUUAUUUGUGUUGGGCAAUUCAACCACCAAAAUCAAUUAGGAAAUAGGUGUAACCCUAAUUCCCUUUCACUUAUAUUACCUUGAAUGCCCAACGGUGCAGUGUCCAUGAUUUCAAGUUCCUGAAUGACAGCUCCACUUAUGAUUGGUUUUAACCUAAUAGCCUUGGACUGUAUGGAAUGGAACAAGUCAGUUUUGGGUCUAUACAAAAGAUCAUGCAAUAUUUACCUGUUCUCUAAUGUUUUUUUUGAACCAUAUUGUGAAUUGACGAGGAAAAAAAUAAAAAAACAUGCAACCAAAUUUGUUAUGAUCAAGGUGUUCUUCAUUUAAACAUAGCAGUGCAAUUGUAUAUUGGGUAUAUAUAUGUUCCAGUUUGUGGCGGAACUGCCCGAAUUAUUCCAACUUAAGUGCCUAAGCCCCGCCGUAGAGGCUAGACCACACUUAAAUGGGAAUAACCCGUCAAUCCCUCGGAUCUAGUCCGACACGGCCACUGACAGGAUCAAGUACCACAAUCUCACUCGAAGGUGAGUCACAGAGCAAAUACAAUAAAGCAUAAAACCAUACAUGUCACCAUGUUAAAUUAUUACAUCACCAUCAUCAUCAUCAUCGGAGUUUUUGCAAAGGUAACCAUCGUUGUUCGACAUGCAGCGGAAUAAAACUAACGGUAAUUAAACCGAGAGAUGGGGAAGCCUGUCCCAUCACUCCUCAUGCUCCUCCUCAGCCGAGGCAGGGUCCCACUCGACAGUCCAACCCGGUGGCAAGGUGGACGACCAAGUUAUCCCAGCAACCAUCUCCUCCAGAGAACCUGUAAAAAUUAUGCCACAAGCAAGGCUGAGUAUACUAAUACUCAGCUAGACUUACCCGGUGUGAGGAGUCUACUCCUCUACCUCUAGACAUGCAGCUUGUUUGGCUGUGGGGUUUGGUUGCCAAAAGCACUAGCUGAGUUUCUAAAUCAAGAUUUUAACUUAGUCAAAGUUAAGUGUGACUCUCUUAAGGCUAAAAAUGUACUAUCUAUUCAUACAAAGUAGCAGACAUUUUAGCAAUCAACAUCUUAUAUCAUUUCCGCAUCAUUCCACUUGUUACUCAAUGUAGCAGCAUGGAUCAAGCAGUCUCAUUAGCUGCGAGAAGCAGACGAUUCGAAUCGAGUUUUUAUCCUUGCAAGGUAAACCUAAACACACGACAUGCAGGGGCACUCCGUCCCCACACAUAUCAACCGUCCCCAUCGAUUCCCUGGCAACAGAACAGGGCUCACCGCCUUGGCGUACAAUGCCCCACUGACCCCGACUGGCCGUUGUGCAGUGGCCGCACUUGUACCCACCAUAACCGGAAUGGGAGACCUCGUCUCAGGUCGCGUGAGGGGUAAAGUCUGCGGGCAGGUUCACUCAGGUACUAGGCUUACCGAUUUACCAUAUUUCUCGGUAUGUGUUUAGUACAUUCAAACGCUUGACUCACGGUACCACACCUUAAUCCUUAUUCACAUUUUAUCCCGUGGACAACCAAUCCCCAUGGAUCAUUGUCCACAAACCAGCAUUAGUAUAAUAUGAAAGUGGGUACAAUCAAUGUCCUGACCUCGCGCGAGUGCUAGAAAAAUCACUCGACUUCUACCGAGAUCCUACUUUAUGAAGCAGCUACUCGUCUUAGCAUACUAGUAUUCAGCUCAAUAGGAUUCCUGAGAUCAUGCAACUAGGGUUUCAAGAAAUUCCUACACUUAAGUGCACAAUCAAUCCUACAAUCAUUAAGUGGAGUAAAAUAGCAUAAAUAACAGGUUAUGCAUAAAACCGGGGCUUGCCUUCCAAAGCAGUGGCAGGCAGGUCCUCUGGUGCUGGCUCUGGUGCUGGAUCUGGGGCUACCUCCUGAGCAGCUCCUUGCUCCGGCACGAGGAUGUACUCUCCGUCAGCAAGAUUACAGUCUAUCGAAAUGCAAUGAACAUGUAUGUCAUGAUUAUGCAUGAUUUAAGAACAUUAAGUUUAAAGAAACUAAGUUAAGAAUUAACUUAGGGUUUUCUCAGUUAUGCGGGGCUUCUAGUGGUACAUAGAUAGACUUAUUACUCUUUGGACUUAGAUUUUCAUUUAGGACAACAUAUUGGUUUGGUAUUGCUUUGAUAUAUUUUUGUGGACAGCAAAUAAAGUUUUUAGGGACAACCUUUAUCCAUAUCUUUUAUUUCUCUUCCCUUAAUUUCCAUUUAGGUUUUCUAGGGUAGGUUUGAACUACAACAGGGUUUUAAUAAUUUCCAAAAAUUCUGUAAAAAUUACAGUGGGUUGUCACUGGCUAUUUUAGCUUGUUUUAAGAAUUUGAGGCUUAAGGUAUAAAAGUUAGGCCUUAAACAAAAAUAACAAAAGUUAGGCAAAAAGGGGCACUUUACACUACACCUCCUAGUUAGGGGUAGGCUCUGCCCUAAAGGUUAUUUUUGUUGGCAUCCUCUGGUAAUAAUAGGUCUUUGUGCUAAAAAUCACAGGAAACUAAGGGGUGGUUAAUUAGCUGUGAUUUUCUCAAGUUUAAUGUCAAUAAGGCACUUUCUACUACAUUAUUAUUUGAAAAAUGUCAAACAGCAGAUUUCUUAUUUUUCCUAAGUUCUUUCUGAUAAAUCAAUAGUUAUCCCAAGGGUGGGGGUGUUUUUUUACCUUGGGGCCAUUUUUGUAGGGCUUUUCAAAGUUAUCCUUGUUUUAUUAAAAUAAAAGAUAUCUUCCUUAAUUUGCACUAAUCCAGGGUAUGAUAUAUUUUUCCAGUGAACUAUAUUGAAUAAGUAACCUAACAAAAAUAGAAGUACUCUCUGGUUCAUUAAUUAAGUUGCAUUUUCUAUUUUCCUUAUCUUUAAGCAUAUUAGAGAAUAAAGGGUAAAACUAACUUAAAUGUAAUGGACAGAGGGGUUUAACAUUUUUAAACAGGUUAGUAGGUGAAUAUAAACUUCUCCAAAUUUUCCCAACCCUAGUCAAAUAGCCCAACUAUUUUUCUUACUAUUAUUUAGCUUUUGGCCAAAGUUAACAUUAAAUCAGAACUUUUAAGUUUUCCACAGCACCAAGGGGUUUUACAUUUUUCCUAAAUAGGGUACAUUAUUUAGAGUCUGGCAAAAUUAGUUUGACCAAAUUUGGAUAAACCAAUAAGAAGUUAGGGGUUUUUUAAAGUUUCUGUUUGAAUUUAAAUCAGGUUUUAAUUAAGUUUUCCUGGAAAUACAGUUUGCGCCGAGGUCCCUGGGUUUAAAACAAUUCAAACCUCGCAGAUCUACCCUUAAGGCACUAUUCACUUGAGUCUCUGACCUUUCACUUAACCCCCUGGGUUUCUCUCCCUCUCACCCGCAGUCCCUCCCUCAAUUGAAACAGUAGCCGCGGAAAAAGAAAGGGUGGCGCGGCUUACCGGCGGCGAGGGAGUUCCGGCGAAGGGUGGGGUCGGCUCGGGGAGGGUCUGGCGAUCACGUCGAGGUACGGCUCGUCGUCGGGAACGGCCGGAAUCGCCCGGUCCACGUGAGCAGGCGGGCGAGCUCGUCGGCGGCGUGUGCUCUGGCCUAUCCACGGCGGCAUAGUUCAAUCCAAGGGCAUAGGGAGCUUCGCGGGGGUCUAAGGAGUCUAACCGUGCAAUGAAUCGAAGAGAGGUGCACGGUGUACCUCGGUCCACGGUUGCCGGCGGUCGGUUGAAGUCCGGUGACCUUGGGUCGGCCUCUCCGGUGAAGUAAAGCCCGAUUCCUCGCUCGGGGAGCUUCACGGAGACGUGUACAGUCUUCUCCGAGGGCUGGACGGGGUUGGGAAAGGCUGGGCUGGCCGGUCGACGGUGGCAGGGGCCCGGGUGGCCGCGGGCACGUCGCGUAUGGGCAAACGGCGGCGAACUGAGCUCCGGUGAGGCUUGAGCGCGUGCGGAGGGGUACGGCCAAGGCUCCUGGGCGUUUUAUAGCCGCGGACGCGGACCAGGGCACCGGCUUGGCUCGGGCGCGGCGCGGGGCGCGCUCGGGCGUGCUCUGGCGCGGCAGACGGCGUCGAACACGUGGCGGUUUGUUUCUUCCAGUGUUCAAAUGUCGCCAGAGGUCGCAACCGUGCGAAUCUUUGCAAAGGUCCGGCGCAGACCUCUUCCUGGCACCUAGGGCUGACACUCAACUGUGAGACGCCGGGGCAGAUACGGCCUAGGGAGGGAGAUCUUCGGGUGCCAAAUCAGGUGUGUCACACUGAGCACUUCGCGACAAAAGCCAUGCCAUGGCAUGUCAAACGUCCGAGUCUCGAGCUCAACUUUUUCCAGUGGGUGCCCUAAGUGGUAUUGCACAUUUUUGGUAUAGAGCCCAAGUGGUUUUGGCGCCAUUUUUGAAGUGAACACGGUUGAUCUUUGAUUUAGGGCUAAAAUGGGACUUAGAGGGAAUUAGAGAGCUCUAGCUCUCUCUCCACUUGGAGAAUUGAAAUGGGGUUUCCCUAGGGGCCUUUUUGUAAUAUUUCCCUCCCCUAAAUAAUGGUUAUAAUGUUGCUUAGGGUUUGGGUAAAGAUUACCCAUGCUUUGCACAUUUGCUCACUCUCUUUCCCCUCUUAUCCAUGGUUUGGGAGUUAGGGUUUAAGAGAGGCCUAGGGUUCUUUCCCCCUCUCCCAAGGUGAUAAUUGCACACAAUUAGAGUAAUGCCCUUGGUCAUUCCCAACUCUGGGUAACAACUUAGUUUCCAAAGCCCCUUAUACUUUUGCUCCUUAAGUUCUUCCACAUGUGAUCAUAGUCUUGAGUGCCAAGGUGUGCUCCAGCCAUAGCAACACAUGGGGUGUUACAGCCCUCCCCCCUUAAAGGAAUCUCGUCCCGAGAUUUUAGGUAGAGUCCCUUGGAGGGUGCUGGAAGGUGUGUUGGUGCUAUUCUUUCUUUAUACUCAAGUUUCUCUUGUUAACUGCUCUUCGAAUGUCAUUCUCUUUGCAACUUCAGAAGGAAGCCCUUCUUAAGUUAAAUCCACAACUUAGACUAUCCUAGCUAUCUAAGUUUUUCUUAUAAUUGGAUUCAAAGGGCAGGUGGGGGUGGGGUUCUGGGGUUACAUACCGACUCCUUUGGGUAGAAAGUCGGGGAAGCGAGAGCGUAGAAAAUCCUCAGUCUCCCAUGUAGCUUCUUCUGCUGAAUGGUGACUCCACUGAACCUUAUACAUUCUGACCGACCUUGCCCGAGUUGAUCUCUCCUUUUGAUCUAACACCUUGACGGGGUACUCUUGGUAGGACAAGUCUGGUUCUAUCUCAAUAUCUGGUUCUGGUAGUACUUCAAUGGGUAGACGAACACAUUUCCGCAGCUGAGAUACAUGGAACACAUUGCGAACGGUCGACAUGUGAGGUGGCAAUUCCACUUGAUAGGCUACGGGUCCACAAACCUCCUAGAUCUUGUAGGGUCCAAUAUAGCGAGGAGCUAACUUGCCCUUGAUCCCGAAUCUCUGAACACCCUUGGUGGGGGAUACCUUAAGAUAAACAUGAUCUCCCACCUCAAAUUGUAGGGGCUUCCGCCUCUUGUCAUGAUAGCUCUUUUGCCUGGCCUGAGCAGCUUCCAAGUUCUUAGCAAUAACUCUGACUUUUGCCUCUGCCUCGAGUACCAAGUCUGGUCCAAAAAUUUCCCUUUCUCCUGCUUGAGACCAAUUGAGUGGGGUCCUACACCUUCUCCCAUACAAUGCCUCAAAAGGUGCCAUCUUCAGACUGGACUGGUAGCUAUUAUUAUAAGAAAACUCUGCCAAAGACAGACACUUGUCCCAAUCCUUUCCAUAAUGUAGUGUACAUGCUCGCAACAUGUCUUCCAAUAUUUGAUUCACUCUUUCUGUUUGACCAUCCGUUUGAGGGUGGUAUGCUGAGCUUCGGAUUACUUGGGUUCCAAGUGACUCCUGCAGUUGCUCCCAAAAUCGUGCCACAAAUGGUGCUCCCCUGUCAGAUAUAAUGGUCUUGGGAAUACCAUGCAACCUUACUAUCUGAUCAAUAUAAAUCUCAGCGUACUUCUCUGCCCUGUGGGUGGUAUGCACUGGUAAGAAAUGAGCAGUCUUGGUCAGCCUGUCCACGAUAACCCAAAUAGAAUCAUGAUGUCUGGAGGUAUUGGGUAAUCCCACUAUAAAGUCCAUGCAAAUAUCCUCCCAUUUCCAAGAUGGUAUGGGAAGGGGUUGUAAAGGGCCUGCUGCCUUCAAGUGACUAGCCUUUAUCCUCUGGCAAGUAUCACAUUCAGAGAUGUACUUGGCAAUUUCUCUUUUCAUUCUAGUCCACCAAUAUAAAGAUCUGAGGUCAUGGUACAUCUUGGUGCUACCAGGGUGCAUAGAGAAUUUGGAAAGGUGAGCUUCAUCUAGUAUCUUCUUUCUGAGCUCAAGGUCCUUAGGAACAACCAAUCGAUCUCCAAACCAUAGAAUUCCCUUGCUGUCCUGUCGGAAACACUUGUAUUUCUCUGCCUUUUGCUUGAUCAUAUCCUUGAUAACCUGAACACCCUUAUCCUCAAUCUGUGCCCUGACUAUCUGUUCUUGCAAUGUGGGCUCCACCGAGAUAUAGCUUAGGUUACCCGAAGAAACAACUUCCAAGUUCAAUCUGCACAACUCAUCACACAGGGUGGUCACUCCUACAUCCAUGCUCAUACAAUUGCACUGGGCCUUUCUGCUCAAGGCAUCUGCCACAACAUUGGCCUUUCCUGGGUGGUAAUGUACCUCUAAAUCAUAGUCCUUGAUUAACUCCAACCAUCUCCUUUGCCUCAUGUUCAGAUCUGCCUGAGUGAAGAUGUAUUUGAGACUCUUGUGAUCAGUAUAGAUGUUACAGUGAGCUCCCAUCAAGUAGUGUCUCCAUAUCUUAAGAGCAUGAACUACAGCUGCCAAUUCUAGAUCAUGUGUAGGGUAGUUCUGCUCAUGGGGCCUGAGUGCUCGGGAAGCAUAAGCAAUCACUCUGUUCUCUUGCAUCAAGACACAUCCCAAUCCGGUACCAGAAGCAUCACAGUAAACUUCAAAUGGCUUGGUGUUGUCAGGUUGAGCCAGCACUGGGGCUGUGGUCAAAUGCUGCCUCAAGGUAUGAAAGGCAUCCUCACACUUUUGGCUCCACUCAAAUUUGACUCCCUUUUUUAACAGUUCGGUCAUUGGCUUGGCAAUUCUGGAGAAAUCCGGAAUAAAUCGUCGAUAAUACCCUGCCAAUCCCAGAAAACUCCGAAUCUGCUUCACUGUAGUCGGGGGUUUCCAAUCCAUCACCUCCUGCACCUUCUCAGGAUCAACAGAUAUCCCAUCUUGAGAAAUUGUGUGACCCAAGAAUUUGAUUUCCUUCAGCCAGAACUCACACUUACUCAGCUUAGCAUACAACUGAUGAUCACGCAGUCUCUGAAGUACAGUAUGCAAGUGUUUGGUGUGCUCGGCUUCGUUCUUGGAAUAAAUCAGGAUAUCAUCAAUGAAAACGACCACAAACUUGUCCAAUUCUGGCAUAAACACUGAGUUCAUCAGGUACAUGAAAUAUGCCGGGGCAUUGGUCAGCCCAAAAGACAUCACCAGAAACUCAUACAAUCCAUAUCUGGUAGAGAAAGUCGUCUUGGGAAUAUCGCUGGCACGGAUCUUGAUCUGAUGGUAUCCCGAGCGAAGGUCUAUCUUGGAGAAUACCUUGGCUCCUACCAACUGAUCAAACAGAACAUCAAUGCGAGGCAAUGGGUAUUUGUUCUUAAUGGUUACCGCAUUGAGAGGACGGUAGUCAACACACAUCCUCAAACUCUCAUCCUUUUUCUUCACGAAUAAUGCUGGACAUCCCCAUGGUGAAGUGCUUGGACGAAUAAACCCCUUGUCCAACAACUCUUGCAAUUGCUUCUUCAAUUCUGCCAAUUCCGCGGGAGGCAUCCUAUAGGGUCUCUUGGAGAUAGGAGCAGUCCCGGGUUGCAAUUCGAUGGCGAACUCAAUAUCUCGGUCAGGUGGCAUUCCUGGCAAUUCAUCUGGGAAAACAUCUGGGUAGUCACAGACCACUGGGAUCUUUUCCACUGGGGAAUCUAUCAUAACGAAAGCACAAGAACGGGUGCAUCCCUGAUCGGGCAAAUAUAAUGUCGUUUCACCACAGGUUGGUGAGUGCACCUCAAUGGCCCUGGCUGCAAUAUCAAUAACUGAUCGAUGCCUGGUUAACCAGUCAGUUCCCAAUAUAAUAUCCACACUAUCCAACCCCAAAAUGAGGAGGGUGGUUUUAAUUAUUAGACUACCAAACUUUAUGGGCACGUGCCUGUUAAUUUGAUAGGUGGCAACCCUGCCUCCUGGUGUUGAAAUUGUAAUGCCCCCAUCGGUGUGGUGAAAGGGCAACUGGCAUUUGGCACUAAACUUGGCACUGAUAAAACUAUGUGAUGCACCAGAAUCAAAUAGAAUAAUAGCAGGAUAAUUCAAAACUGUAAAGAUACCAGUCAUGACGGGUGCUCCCUCUGGAAUAUCAGCCAUGGUGGUGAAGUUUAGCCUGCCUUGCCUCACUUGCACCUUCUGUCUCUUGCCUUGGUUCUGGUUGACAUUCUGCCCCUGCCUCUGCUGGUUCCUGGGGCAAUUCUUGGCAUAAUGCCCAGUGUUGCCGCAAGUGAAACAUCUGUUGUCAUUGGCCUGGCGGUACUGCUGCUGCUGAUUAUUCCGCUGUGCUGGAAACUGGUUGCGGUUGGGUGCCUGCUGCUGCUGCUGCUGAGGUCGGAUUACCCAUCGCCCUUGCUGCUGCUGGGGUCCCCUGCCCUGGGUGUCGGAUACAAUCCUGAAGCGCUGUGGCUGAGCUGAGGGUCCUGCCACAGGGGUCUUCCUUUUCUUCUCUGCCUGCCUAGCUGUAAUGCAGUCCUCUUGGGAGAUAGCCAUGUUUACCAACUCAUUGUAGCUGUUGGCCCUGACGGUGUUGAGACGAUCCCGGAGCUUAGUGCUGAGCCCCCUUCUGAAUCUGUCCCUCUUCUUCUCAUCUGAAUCCGCAUGAUAUCCCGCAUACUGGCACAAGUCAUUAAAGGCCUGGGCAUACUGCAACACUGUCCUGUUGCCCUGAGUGAGUGCCAAGAACUCAUUGAGUUUCCGGUCCAUGAUCCCGGCUGGUAUAUGGUGUCCUCUGAAAGCUGCCUUAAACUCCCUCCACUCCACCUCUCGGUCCUCUGGCUGCAUAGCAAGAAAGUGAUCCCACCAAGUCCUUGCAGGUCCGCGAAGCUGUUGGGUGGCAAACCUGACCUUGGUGACCUCUGAACACACUCCAUGAAGCAGUGGGAAUUUGGAUUCCACCACCCUCAACCACACAUCUGCAUCAAGUGGGUCCUCCGCCCUGGUAAACAAUGGUGGCUGAGUGCUGAGGAACUCCUGGUAGGUAGCAGCGACGGGGUGACGCUGAUGGUCUCCACCAUAAUGCUGAGGUAGUGGCUGACGCUGGGCCAGCUGCCUCAGGAUCUCAUUCUGCUGAGCCAUGAGCUCCUGCAGAGUGGGAGGUGGGGGUGGUGGUGGAACGUGCUCGUUCUGGCCACGACGCUGCCUCCCAGCCAUCUGAAAAACCACAUACAUAUUUAACACCACAGUUCCAAAUUCAAGAUUUUAUCACGGGGAAAAAGUUAAACAGCGGGAUUUUAAGAGGCAUAAAUUUCUUCCUUCCAAGAUUAAGCUAAUAAUAGCAUCCAUCCAUCAAGCUCCCCAAAAGAGUUUAAUACGAUUACAUCAAAUUGUUCCAAAAUGACUCAACUCUUCCUAGCCUAGUACCCUAAGGGUGCAAAAGCUAAGCUAGCGGCGAGGAGUCCGACUAUCCAACUUCUAAACCUACCCUGGACAUCUAGUGAGCGAACGAAGCAACGCUCGACUCGGGGGAAGGUGGUCUUCCCGAGCCAGCAGUAUCUAUACUGGAAGCAGACUCGUCUCCACCCUCGAUGUCAACGUCCUCGUCAGCCUCCCCACCAUGGAUCUCUUGGUGAUGCAUGUCUAGGUGCUCAUUUGCUUCUGCCAGCUGCUGCUGAGUGUUGAGGAGCUGAUCCUCUAGGACCUCAAUGGUGUUCUCCCGGGUGCCCACUAGCUCCUCCAACUCAUGAAUCUCACCAGACAGCUGCUCCACUUGCAAAUCCUUCUCUACCAUUUCUUGAGACAAGUCGACCACAAGCUCCUCUCGGUUAUCCAACGUGAUCUUGGUGGCCUCCAGCAGUGCCAUCAGAUGGGACAUGGCCUCACCGCGCAUCACCUGCAGACGGUACAGAGCAUUCAUGCACCGUACUGUCAAGUGCGCAGUCUGUCCUGGGUAGAUGGCCCAGAUAUCCUUAGCAUGCUCCACCUGAUCCUUCCACAUUGGGUCGUCCUCCUUCUCAGCGGGGAACAAGCCAAUGGGGUGGGUAGCCAGCUCUAAGGGAUGAAAUCCGCAGAAAGUAGUCAACCCGUGCAGCGCGAUCGCCCCGAUCGUGUCCUCUGCCCGGUACCCGAAAGACUCUGAGUCCAAGGAGCGCCAGCCUGGCUGCAGGGGAUGAGGCUCCAGAGUCAUCCUCACCCUACAGCGGGGCACUCGGUGCUUCUCGAACUGCUGCACCGCGUACUGAGGGGGUGUCGCGUAUCCAGCCCCCUGAAGCACCUCCCACAAAAUGCGGGGAAAGCCCUCUCGUGCAAGUCCGUCGGUGUGGGUCAGUGCAUUUCCGUCAUCGGAGGAUCCGUGGGAAGUCAUCUGUGUACGGUUAAGCGUAAGUAAAAGAAAAGAACUAUAAAAAGAACAAACAAAAAAAUAAAACUCAGCCUUUCUCUAGUUAAGUAAAAAGGCACUAGGGACCUAGUUGGUUGUUAUCUUGUUUUUAAGUCUUUUACUCAGUUAUCCAUUUGCUUAAUUAUGAAUGCAUGCAUGCUCGUCCUGAACGGCCUCACAACAAGAUAGAAGGAAUAGGGAGAAACUCCCAUCCUGUAAAAGUGGCCUGUAGGGCCUAGUUACUUAGCCACCUAGCUACCCUUCUAUUAACCUAAGGCUUCACGUCCUAGGUCUAUCCUGCUCGUCCUACUAUCUAUCCAACUUGUUUCUAUCAAGUUUUAUUUAGAAAAUUGAUGGUAUUUACAUUUUAUUGAUUCCUCUGUGGUGGUACAAGCUCCGAUACCAGCUGUGGCGGAACUGCCCGAAUUAUUCCAACUUAAGUGCCUAAGCCCCGCCGUAGAGGCUAGACCACACUUAAAUGGGAAUAACCCGUCAAUCCCUCGGAUCUAGUCCGACACGGCCACUGACAGGAUCAAGUACCACAAUCUCACUCGAAGGUGAGUCACAGAGCAAAUACAAUAAAGCAUAAAACCAUACAUGUCACCAUGUUAAAUUAUUACAUCACCAUCAUCAUCAUCAUCGGAGUUUUUGCAAAGGUAACCAUCGUUGUUCGACAUGCAGCGGAAUAAAACUAACGGUAAUUAAACCGAGAGAUGGGGAAGCCUGUCCCAUCACUCCUCAUGCUCCUCCUCAGCCGAGGCAGGGUCCCACUCGACAGUCCAACCCGGUGGCAAGGUGGACGGCCAAGUUAUCCCAGCAACCAUCUCCUCCAGAGAACCUCUAGGACCUCAAGGCUGAGUAUACUAAUACUCAGCUAGACUUACCCGGUGUGAGGAGUCUACUCCUCUACCUCUAGACAUGCAGCUUGUUUGGCUGUGGGGUUUGGUUGCCAAAAGCACUAGCUGAGUUUCUAAAUCAAGAUUUUAACUUAGUCAAAGUUAAGUGUGACUCUCUUAAGGCUAAAAAUGUACUAUCUAUUCAUACAAAGUAGCAGACAUUUUAGCAAUCAACAUCUUAUAUCAUUUCCGCAUCAUUCCACUUGUUACUCAAUGUAGCAGCAUGGAUCAAGCAGUCUCAUUAGCUGCGAGAAGCAGACGAUUCGAAUCGAGUUUUUAUCCUUGCAAGGUAAACCUAAACACACGACAUGCAGGGGCACUCCGUCCCCACACAUAUCAACCGUCCCCAUCGAUUCCCUGGCAACAGAACAAGGCUCACCGCCUUGGCGUACAAUGCCCCACUGACCCCGACUGGCCGUCGUGCAGUGGCCGCACUUGUACCCACCAUAACCGGAAUGGGAGACCUCGUCUCAGGUCGCGUGAGGGGUAAAGUCUGCGGGCAGGUUCACUCAGGUACUAGGCUUACCGAUUUACCAUAUUUCUCGGUAUGUGUUUAGUACAUUCAAACGCUUGACUCACGGUACCACACCUUAAUCCUUAUUCACAUUUUAUCCCGUGGACAACCAAUCCCCAUGGAUCAUUGUCCACAAACCAGCAUUAGUAUAAUAUGAAAGUGGGUACAAUCAAUGUCCUGACCUCGCGCGAGUGCUAGAAAAAUCACUCGACUUCUACCGAGAUCCUACUUUAUGAAGCAGCUACUCGUCUUAGCAUACUAGUAUUCAGCUCAAUAGGAUUCCUGAGAUCAUGCAACUAGGGUUUCAAGAAAUUCCUACACUUAAGUGCACAAUCAAUCCUACAAUCAUUAAGUGGAGUAAAAUAGCAUAAAUAACAGGUUAUGCAUAAAACCGGGGCUUGCCUUCCAAAGCAGUGGCAGGCAGGUCCUCUGGUGCUGGCUCUGGUGCUGGAUCUGGGGCUACCUCCUGAGCAGCUCCUUGCUCCGGCACGAGGAUGUACUCUCCGUCAGCAAGAUUACAGUCUAUCGAAAUGCAAUGAACAUGUAUGUCAUGAUUAUGCAUGAUUUAAGAACAUUAAGUUUAAAGAAACUAAGUUAAGAAUUAACUUAGGGUUUUCUCAGUUAUGCGGGGCUUCUAGUGGUACAUAGAUAGACUUAUUACUCUUUGGACUUAGAUUUUCAUUUAGGACAACAUAUUGGUUUGGUAUUGCUUUGAUAUAUUUUUGUGGACAGCAAAUAAAGUUUUUAGGGACAACCUUUAUCCAUAUCUUUUAUUUCUCUUCCCUUAAUUUCCAUUUAGGUUUUCUAGGGUAGGUUUGAACUACAACAGGGUUUUAAUAAUUUCCAAAAAUUCUGUAAAAAUUACAGUGGGUUGUCACUGGCUAUUUUAGCUUGUUUUAAGAAUUUGAGGCUUAAGGUAUAAAAGUUAGGCCUUAAACAAAAAUAACAAAAGUUAGGCAAAAAGGGGCACUUUACACUACACCUCCUAGUUAGGGGUAGGCUCUGCCCUAAAGGUUAUUUUUGUUGGCAUCCUCUGGUAAUAAUAGGUCUUUGUGCUAAAAAUCACAGGAAACUAAGGGGUGGUUAAUUAGCUGUGAUUUUCUCAAGUUUAAUGUCAAUAAGGCACUUUCUACUACAUUAUUAUUUGAAAAAUGUCAAACAGCAGAUUUCUUAUUUUUCCUAAGUUCUUUCUGAUAAAUCAAUAGUUAUCCCAAGGGUGGGGGUGUUUUUUUACCUUGGGGUCAUUUUUGUAGGGCUUUUCAAAGUUAUCCUUGUUUUAUUAAAAUAAAAGAUAUCUUCCUUAAUUUGCACUAAUCCAGGGUAUGAUAUAUUUUUCCAGUGAACUAUAUUGAAUAAGUAACCUAACAAAAAUAGAAGUACUCUCUGGUUCAUUAAUUAAGUUGCAUUUUCUAUUUUCCUUAUCUUUAAGCAUAUUAGAGAAUAAAGGGUAAAACUAACUUAAAUGUAAUGGACAGAGGGGUUUAACAUUUUUAAACAGGUUAGUAGGUGAAUAUAAACUUCUCCAAAUUUUCCCAACCCUAGUCAAAUAGCCCAACUAUUUUUCUUACUAUUAUUUAGCUUUUGGCCAAAGUUAACAUUAAAUCAGAACUUUUAAGUUUUCCACAGCACCAAGGGGUUUUACAUUUUUCCUAAAUAGGGUACAUUAUUUAGAGUCUGGCAAAAUUAGUUUGACCAAAUUUGGAUAAACCAAUAAGAAGUUAGGGGUUUUUUAAAGUUUCUGUUUGAAUUUAAAUCAGGUUUUAAUUAAGUUUUCCUGGAAAUACAGUUUGCGCCGAGGUCCCUGGGUUUAAAACAAUUCAAACCUCGCAGAUCUACCCUUAAGGCACUAUUCACUUGAGUCUCUGACCUUUCACUUAACCCCCUGGGUUUCUCUCCCUCUCACCCGCAGUCCCUCCCUCAAUUGAAACAGUAGCCGCGGAAAAAGAAAGGGCGGCGCGGCUUACCGGCGGCGAGGGAGUUCCGGCGAAGGGUGGGGUCGGCUCGGGGAGGGUCUGGCGAUCACGUCGAGGUACGGCUCGUCGUCGGGAACGGCCGGAAUCGCCCGGUCCACGUGAGCAGGCGGGCGAGCUCGUCGGCGGCGUGUGCUCCGGCCUAUCCACGGCGGCAUAGUUCAAUCCAAGGGCAUAGGGAGCUUCGCGGGGUUCUAAGGAGUCUAACCGUGCAAUGAAUCGAAGAGAGGUGCACGGUGUACCUCGGUCCACGGUUGCCGGCGGUCGGUUGAAGUCCGGUGACCUUGGGUCGGCCUCUCCGGUGAAGUAAAGCCCGAUUCCUCGCUCGGGGAGCUUCACGGAGACGUGUACAGUCUUCUCCGAGGGCUGGACGGGGUUGGGAAAGGCUGGGCUGGCCGGUCGACGGUGGCAGGGGCCCGGGUGGCCGCGGGCACGUCGCGUAUGGGCAAACGGCGGCGAACUGAGCUCCGGUGAGGCUUGAGCGCGUGCGGAGGGGUACGGCCAAGGCUCCUGGGCGUUUUAUAGCCGCGGACGCGGACCAGGGCACCGGCUUGGCUCGGGCGCGGCGCGGGGCGCGCUCGGGCGUGCUCUGGCGCGGCAGACGGCGUCGAACACGUGGCGGUUUGUUUCUUCCAGUGUUCAAAUGUCGCCAGAGGUCGCAACCGUGCGAAUCUUUGCAAAGGUCCGGCGCAGACCUCUUCCUGGCACCUAGGGCUGACACUCAACUGUGAGACGCCGGGGCAGAUACGGCCUAGGGAGGGAGAUCUUCGGGUGCCAAAUCAGGUGUGUCACACUGAGCACUUCGCGACAAAAGCCAUGCCAUGGCAUGUCAAACGUCCGAGUCUCGAGCUCAACUUUUUCCAGUGGGUGCCCUAAGUGGUAUUGCACAUUUUUGGUAUAGAGCCCAAGUGGUUUUGGCGCCAUUUUUGAAGUGAACACGGUUGAUCUUUGAUUUAGGGCUAAAAUGGGACUUAGAGGGAAUUAGAGAGCUCUAGCUCUCUCUCCACUUGGAGAAUUGAAAUGGGGUUUCCCUAGGGGCCUUUUUGUAAUAUUUCCCUCCCCUAAAUAAUGGUUAUAAUGUUGCUUAGGGUUUGGGUAAAGAUUACCCAUGCUUUGCACAUUUGCUCACUCUCUUUCCCCUCUUAUCCAUGGUUUGGGAGUUAGGGUUUAAGAGAGGCCUAGGGUUCUUUCCCCCUCUCCCAAGGUGAUAAUUGCACACAAUUAGAGUAAUGCCCUUGGUCAUUCCCAACUCUGGGUAACAACUUAGUUUCCAAAGCCCCUUAUACUUUUGCUCCUUAAGUUCUUCCACAUGUGAUCAUAGUCUUGAGUGCCAAGGUGUGCUCCAGCCAUAGCAACACCUGGGGUGUUACACAGUUUACCAAACAAAUAGCACAUCCUUACUGAACGAUAUAGAGAUUGCCACAUUGCGACUGGUGAAGAAAAAAGAAAAAUAAAUGCAACUGCAUUUGUUAUGAUCCAACAUUCAACUGUACUUUCGGUAAAUGUAAUGCAACUAUAUUGGGGUAUAUAUCUGCUCUAGUUUACCAAACAAAUAGCACAUCCUAACUGAAAAAUCCAGGGUAUGUUUUCCCAUAUAAUCCAUUGCAUAUAUUAAGAUCAGUUUUUGGCACAUUGCAAGUUAAUGCCCACUAGGCUAGGAAGAUAGUUACCAAAAAAAAGUCACCUAAAAUUUACUUGUAGAGAAACGAGCUCGAAUAAUUACCAGCAAGAAGUGUUCCUUUGCGGUUAAACGUGAUACAUUUCACAGUGCCUUGGACGUAAGGUUGGUCAGCCGGUGGAAAAUGGACUUGUUGAGUACUCCUUUAGCAAGGAUGAGAAUGAACAUCUACACUAUGAUAAGUUCUCUAGUUUUUUUUUGAAGCAAUUGCAUGAUGAUGUGACCUAUUUCUUUUCAUUUUUUUUGUUUGUUAAUAUAUUGUCAAUCUAGAUAAUGACUCUAUUAAUAUAACUAUUGAGAGACAUAGCGUAAGCCAAAUAACCCGUUUAUAUCAGUCAACUAUAUUUUGUGAUUAUUUGCUUAUUUAUUUCUUCAGGUUUUCAAACAGUCCGUUCAUUUCAUAAAUGAAGAUUUACAAACAUUUUCCUUGCAUACUGUUGUCCCUCUUUUGGCUACCUUGUUUUUUGGCUUUCGAUUUUUUUUUAUUGUAGAGCAUAUCUAAUAAGUACACACCCAAUUCAGGAAAGCAGGGAUCACAGAUAGUUAUAUAAUCUCUAAAGAUGCAGGAAACAAGUAGAGGUACCGAGGUUUAGC